rnacentral:rRNA from 1 species
GAUGAACGCUGGCGGCGUGCCUAAUACAUGCAAGUCGAGCGAACAGACGAGGAGCUUGCUCCUCUGACGUUAGCGGCGGACGGGUGAGUAACACGUGGAUAACCUACCUAUAAGACUGGGAUAACUUCGGGAAACCGGAGCUAAUACCGGAUAAUAUAUUGAACCGCAUGGUUCAAUAGUGAAAGACGGUUUUGCUGUCACUUAUAGAUGGAUCCGCGCCGCAUUAGCUAGUUGGUAAGGUAACGGCUUACCAAGGCGAUGAUGCGUAGCCGACCUGAGAGGGUGAUCGGCCACACUGGAACUGGGACACGGUCCAGAGUCCUACGGGAGGCAGCAGUAGGGAAUCUUCCGCAAUGGGCGAAAGCCUGACGGAGCAACGCCGCGUGAGUGAUGAAGGUCUUCGGAUCGUAAAACUCUGUUAUUAGGGAAGAACAAAUGUGUAAGUAACUAUGCACGUCUUGACGGUACCUAAUCAGAAAGCCACGGCUAACUACGUG